rnacentral:rRNA from 1 species
CAGCAGCCGCGGUAAUACCGGCGGCCCGAGUGGCGGUCACUAUUAUUGGGCUUAAAGCGUCCGUAGCCGGGUUGGGAAGUCCUCCGGGGAAUCUGGCCGCUUAACGGUCAGAAUGCCGGAGGAUACUCCCAGCCUAGGGAGCGGGAGAGGCCGAGGGUAUUCCCGGAGUAGGGGUGAAAUCCUAUAAUCCCGGGAGGACCACCUGUGGCGAAGGCGCUCGGCGGGAACGCGUCCGACGGUGAGGGACGAAGGCCAGGGGAGCAAACCGGAUUAGAUACCCGGGUAGUCCUGGCUGUAAACGAUGCGGACUUUGUGUCGGACAAGCUAUGAGCUUGUCCGGUGCCGGAGGGAAACCGUUAAGUCCGCCGCCUGGGGAGUACGGCCGCAAGGCUGAAACUUAAAGGAAUUGGCGGG